UGGAGAGUUUGAUCCUGGCUCAGGACGAACGCUGGCGGCGUGCUUAACACAUGCAAGUCGAACGGAAAGGCCCUUUCGGGGGUACUCGAGUGGCGAACGGGUGAGUAACACGUGGGUGAUCUGCCCUGCACUUUGGGAUAAGCCUGGGAAACUGGGUCUAAUACCGAAUAUUUCCUUUUGGUCGCAUGGCUGGGAGGGGAAAGCUUUUGCGGUGUGGGAUGGGCCCGCGGCCUAUCAGCUUGUUGGUGAGGUUAUGGCUUACCAAGGCGACGACGGGUAGCCGGCCUGAGAGGGUGACCGGCCACACUGGGACUGAGAUACGGCCCANACUCCUACGGGAGGCAGCAGUGGGGAAUAUUGCACAAUGGGCGCAAGCCUGAUGCAGCGACGCCGCGUGGGGGAUGACGGCCUUCGGGUUGUAAACCUCUUUCAAUAGGGACGAAGCGCAAGUGACGGUACCUAUAGAAGAAGGACCGGCCAACUACGUGCCAGCAGCCGCGGUA
rnacentral:rRNA from 1 species